AUUUAAAUAGUUUAAUAAAAAUAUUAGUUUGUGGAGCUAGAGAUGUAAAUAUUUUACUUUAAAUA
rnacentral:tRNA from 1 species